GCCUAACACAUGCAAGUCGAGCGGCAGCACGAUCAGUAGCAAUACUGAUUGGUGGCGAGCGGCGGACGGGUGAGGAACACGUAGGAACCUGUCGUUUAGAGGGGGAUAACCAAGGGAAACUUUGGCUAAUACCGCGUAAUCUCGGAAGAGGAAAGCUGCCCGCAAGGGUGGCGCUAAAUGAGGGGCCUGCGUCCGAUUAGCUAGUUGGUAGGGUAAAGGCUUACCAAGGCAAUGAUCGGUAACUGGUCUGAGAGGAGGACCAGUCACACUGGGACUGAGACACGGCCCAGACUCCUACGGGAGGCAGCAGUGGGGAAUAUUGGACAAUGGGGGCAAGCCUGAUCCAGCGAUGCCGCGUGGGUGAAGAAGGCCUUCGGGUUGUAAAGCCCUUUAGAUUGGGAAGAAGUGUGUAUGACGAAUAAUCAUACAUAUUGACGGUACCGAUAGAAUAAGCACCGGCAAACUCUGUGCCAGCCGCCGCGGUAA
rnacentral:rRNA from 1 species